rnacentral:pre_miRNA from 8 species
CAGGACAAAAGGACGUACAGUGCAGUCAUCCAUAAAGUAGAAAGCACUACUAAACCCCUCGCCACAGUGUAGUGUUUCCUACUUUAUGGAUGAGUGUACUGUUGGCUGCUGGGAACACUU